UGCAUAUUAUAGUCCUUAUCAAAUCAUUAAAAGGAUUGGAGUUGUGGCUUAUAAUGGUAGUUCGAUGCAUCCUAUUUUUCAUGUUUCUUUAUUAAAGAAAAAGGUUGGAGAUGCAGUUGUUGUCUGAUCUACAUUAUUAGUGGUGGAUGAAGGAGAUCUUAAUUAGACAGAAAGUUUACGAAGAAAGAUAACAAGGAUGUGGUACGUAGUAGGAUUGAUUCAAUGAUCAAAUUCAUUUCCUAAAGAUGUAACAUGGGAAGAACUAGAGAAGAUUCAAAUGCAAUUUCUAGAAUUCUGCAUAGAUUCUUGAGGCCAAGAAUCACUUCAAGGGAGAGGUAUUGUUACAUUAUGCAUAUUCUAUACACAUGUUAUAAUCAGAAGUUGCACAUGAUGGAAAGAAGGAAGAAAGCAGUAGCAGCAAUGGCAGCCGUUGUAACCAUUGUUGAGUGGUUGAAGAGCAAGCAGCACGUGAUUCAUCCAAUUAAAAUGGUUAAGCUCAAUUAGUUAGUCAAUUGAGAUUAGUUGGAAGUCAAGGGAGGGAGUUAGUCUAAUGAUGUAACAUGCAUUUUGUGAAAAGCAAGUAAUAAAACAACAUGUAAAGGUUUCGCCUUCUCCAUUGGCAUCAACUUGUGCUGCUUCUUUUGGUGUUGGAGUAGUACUUCAGGAAUUUGCAACAUUAAGGGUUAUGAGCAUCAAGAAAACAUAACACAUGAGUCUUCCUUAUUCUCCAUGUCAAGUGUUGUUGAAGGUUAACAUUCCUAACCAACUUUUUUCUAACUUGUGAUUUUGAUCUGGGGAUUAGAAUAAGUUCUUGAGGUUAAAGUGCAACUUCAUCUGUAUACAUCUAGAUUUCAUAGAAUUAGAAUGAUUCUGUGCCGGUUGACAACUGACUUCCACUCUCCAAAAGAAAAAUGCAAUGCAGUAUUUAAUUUCCUUCUCUUUUUUAUGCUGCAAAAUGACCACAGAUGAAAUGUUCAUGUAACAAGUUCCCUUGAAUGAUACCCGCAGAUUGGGCACAAAAAACUGGCAAGUUUUGUAUUCGAGUUUUUAUCAGGAGAAUAUUGUUAGUUUCUGCUUUCAAGGCCUCCUGAUACAGUUUUGGUUGUCCUGAAAAAUGUUGAUUGAUGUAAAUUAAGGGUGCCUUUCCAUCUCAACACCGCUGCAAGCACGUUGUCUUACAUAUUGGAGAGCGUGAAGGUUUUACUUGAUUUGUAUAGAGGAUAAAAGAGAGGAAGUAGUUUCUGAAGUUACUUUUUUCGCAUGGACCUACCCAUAUUAGGUGAAGCAAAUCUGGAUGUGAUGAUUAGUUCAUUGAUAACCGUAAGACAUUCUAUCUUGAUAGAUGGAAGGGUCAAUUGCUCAAAACACAGUACAAUUUUGGAUUGUGUCGGGGACAAUGACUUGAGAGGUAAAAUCUAUGCACAAGUUGAAUCUGUUUUGCAUUUUUCAUAAGCGACAAUGAUGGACUAUCUGUAACAUUGAACUUUACUGCUAGCUUUAUGAAUAAGUUGAAGCUCAUUAACAUUAUCAUACAAUGGUAAUGUGCAACUGUAUAUGUAUUUGCCAUGUUUCUAGGCAGCUUCCGACCCUUCGAGUCUUUCUCUUCAAGAUCAUGCCCCUUUUGCUUCCAUUUAAUACACUCACAUGGGAGUUGUAUUGGUGGUGCCACACCCAAUUUUGUUCUAUCUGAAACCUCCUUUUUGGAGGCUGCAUUUACAAUUCUCACUUGUAAUUUCUCACGCUUUGGACCCCCCUCUUUCUUUCACUAGCUAUUGUUUCCCAUGUCAACUUUCUUUUUGUAACCUAUAUACCUAGCUAGAGAGAGCAGUUAUUCUCCAUUACCCGAUUUGUAAUGCACCAUAUUGUCACGCAAAUACGACACUUUACCCGAAGAUUCAUUGCUUUGAAUUUGAACAAAAAGAUAAUGAUGUUAACACACUGCCAAAUGACAUGUUGCUUCUUUUCCUUGUUCUUUUCUAUCACUAGUUUGAUCCAGAAAGUUGGAUCCAGAGGGGCCUUCGCUGAGAUUAUGGUUUAACUAAGUGCAUAAUGUCUACUUUCGAAGACUCCCUUAUUCACUAUAAUCUGUAUGAUAUAUUGCCUUGUCUGGUCCACGAGGAACUGCAAGAGUAGUAGUAAAGGGAGAUGAGCAAACCAGGGCUAAAAGACUAGGCUCUGAGACCGGGAAAGAAGCUGAAGGUGAAAAGCAAAGCGACCAAAGGCCUUGGGGAGAAGUAGAGGUAUAGAGUUAAGAAAGCAGGCUAAGAAGCCGAAGGCUAAUAAAAAGAAGAUUCGACUCUCCCUUGGGACUGCAACUGGAAGGGAAGGAGUGGAAUUUGCUCCCCCCAGUGGAAUUCGCUUUCAGCUCUUACUGGCUUCGUCUCGUACUCGUGUAUUAGCUACAGCACCCGCAUAAGCGGAAACUAGUCCUAUCACUAACCUCCUUAAUUCUCAUUGCCUGGUCAGCAUGAAAUCAAACGAUCUGAGUGGAUCAACUGCUUCAGCAGCUGGGGUCAUCACUGUAGAGCAUCCUAUUCCCCCACUAAUCUAUUCAAACUCCAGCGAUGGAAUGGCAACCAAGAGGAGGCCCCAUAAGCUUCGAAGUUUUCCAGGGCCUUUCAGUUACUUCCUUCCAGGGCGGACUGACCUGGGGCCGCAUCGUUGGCUCACUGAAACCCAUAUACCAGUCUGCUUCACUGCUGUCUGAUAUCCCCAUCUCUCUUUCUUACCUACCCUCUCAACUUCCCGUUGGGAUAUCACAAAGCAAAUCCUAUACUCUAGCUUUCAUUUCCCGCUAGCUGACUUGCCUGCGCUUGGAGAUUCGAGCACAACAAAGAGCUGAUUUACGGAAUUUCUUCACAUCUGUCCGCUUUCAACCCAAGCGUGAAAAGUCAGUGCUUUCUUAGAUUUCGAUAGAGACAAAGAUCUUUAAGCUGAAAACUGGAGUUUAGGGUGCCUAUAAUAUGAGGUCUGAAACCAUAUUCGGUUUGAAUCUCACGUGCCUAUUGGUGACUUUAAAAAUGCCAAACAAAACAUCAAUUUCCAAA